CAGUCGUACCGGCGGAUAAUCAGCCUUUCGGGUGCGAUUCUGUGGGGCGUGAGGAGCUUAACCGCCUUCAUGUUUUGCAUAUUCGUGCACAUUUGGUGUACUUGUCCGUGUGGUGGGUUAACAUCAAUUUCGGUCGUCAUAAAAUGAUUAGAGGAAUGUAGCUUUGGUCUCGUAUCGAAGUGUUAUAGACUCUGGUAGAUGUGACGAUUGGGAUUGAGGAUUGCAACGGAUACCCCUUCGGGGCUACCCGUCUGAUCUCUGAAGGUUGCUCCGGUGCCGAAAGCGUGCUUACGGUCAUCGAAAGUGAUUUUCAAAAGGUUAGAACGGGUUAAAUUCGUUAAGGAUGUUGACGUAAUGGCUUUAAACGA
rnacentral:rRNA from 1 species